GACCAUGCUCAGUUAGUUGCAACAAUUGUAGAGAAGGCAUGGCAGAAAAUAAGCCUUCCCUUAUCAACAGAUAUCAGAAGCUGGAAUACCUUCCUCUUGAUUUAAAAGGAAACAAAUAUGAAUGAGGCAGGCUCCCAUAACAAAAAGGACAACUCAAGAUUAGCUGACGAUAAGUAAAACAACAUCUCGUCAGAAACGACACUCAUUCGUCUGCCUCUCUGUACCAAUCUCGUUCACCGCACUAUAAUAAUAUCAAUUUACGAUGAGAAGAUACAAUCCAAUCGAAUCCAAACCCUAGAAUUUGAUUUUUACUACCGACCGCUCUUAAAAUUUUGUAGAAACACAAAAUGGAAAACAACUCCAAAGCUCUAACAGAGAGAAGACAGAGGAAAAUUUCUAUUUUAGCUGAGGCUGAAGAGAAGAUGGCGAUGAUGAUCAAGUGGGCAAGAUAAAUUUUCCCGGAAUAUAAAUAUUUUUAGGGUGACUAUUGCCACGGCCAUUUUUGCUGUCGCCACGGCUUCAUAAAUGCUACAAAAAGACCAAUUUAUCCUUUUAAACGUACCCUUAAACAUAGCUCAUUUUUUGAAAUCCCAGCAGCAUCUCUUUCUACUUCUUCCUAACUGACGUACUGAAACUUCAAAUCGAGU
rnacentral:misc_RNA from 1 species